GGAUUGACGGGGCCCCGCACAAGCGGCGGAGCAUGUUGUUUAAUUAGACGCAACGCGAAGACCCUUCCCGGGGUUUGACAUACACGGAAAACCCUCAGAGAUUCGGGUCCUUAAGGGCCGUGCACAGGUGGUGCAUGGUUGUCGUCAGCUCGUGUCGUGAGAUGUUGGGUUAAGUCCCGCAACGAGCGCAACCCUCGUCCUAUGUGCCAGC
rnacentral:rRNA from 1 species